GCGAUAUAGCUCAGUGGUAGAGUUCUUGCUUACCAUGUGUGAGGCCUUGGGUUCAAUCUCCAGAAACACA
rnacentral:tRNA from 1 species